rnacentral:rRNA from 1 species
UACGUAGGGUGCGAGCGUUGUCCGGAAUUACUGGGCGUAAAGAGCUCGUAGGUGGUUUGUCGCGUUGUUCGUGAAAACUCACAACUCAAUUGUGGGCGUGCGGGCGAUACGGGCAGACUGGAGUACUGCAGGGGAGACUGGAAUUCCUGGUGUAGCGGUGGAAUGCGCAGAUAUCGGAAGGAACAUCAGUGGCGAAAGCGACUUCCUGGACCAAUACUGACGCUCAUGUGCGAAAGCGUGGGGAGCAAACAGG